ACGGAAGGCAGCAGUGAGGAAUAUUGGUCAAUGGGCGGAAGCCUGAACCAGCCAUGCCGCGUGAAGGAAUAAGGCCCUAUGGGUCGUAAACUUCUUUUGACGGGGAGCAAUAAGGACUACGUGUAGUCCGAUGAGAGUACUCGUCGAAUAAGCAUCGGCUAACUCCGUGCCAGCAGCCGCGGUAAUACGGAGGAUGCAAGCGUUAUCCGGAUUUAUUGGGUUUAAAGGGUGCGUAGGCGGACCAGUAAGUCAGAGGUGAAAGCCCGGAGCUCAACUCCGGAACUGCCUUUGAUACUGUUGGUCUUGAAUUCGGAUGCCGUGGGAGGAAUGAGUAGUGUAGCGGUGAAAUGCAUAGAUAUUACUCAGAACACCGAUUGCGAAGGCAUCUCACGAAUCCGACAUUGACGCUGAGGCACGAAAGCGUGGGGAUCAAACAGGAUUAGAUACCCUGGUA
rnacentral:rRNA from 1 species